rnacentral:lncRNA from 1 species
GGUGGAGGAAGGUUGGUGGAGGGAAGUUUGAGAUUCAGAAGCUCAGGCCGGGCCCAAUGUCACACUAUUUCUUCCUGCUGCCUGCUGAUCCAGAUGUAGCACUCUCAGCUACUUCUUCAGCACCAUGUCUGCCUGGAUGCAGCCAUGCUCCCUGCCGUAAAUGAAAAUAGACUGAACCUCUGAACAGACCCAAGGCAUUCCAUCACCAUGACUGCUGAAGCUGUGUAAGACUCCUAGAAAGCACUACACUGAAAUGCUCAACUUCUGUUCAAGGCUUCCUGCCUCCCUCUCCUGUA